GAUGAAGAACGUAGCGAAAUGCGAUAAGUAAUGUGAAUUGCAGAAUUCAGUGAAUCAUCGAAUCUUUGAACGCACAUUGCGCCCCCUGGUAUUCCGGGGGGCAUGCCUGUCCGAGCGUCAUUACAACCCUCAAGCUCAGCUUGGUAUUGGGCCCCGCCGACCCGGCGGGCCCUAAAGUCAGUGGCGGUGCCGUCCGGCUCCGAGCGUAGUAAUUCUUCUCGCUCUGGAGGUCCGGUCGUGUGCUCACCAGCAACCCCCAAUUUUUUUCAGGUUGACCUCGGAUCAGGUAGGGAUACCCGCUGAACUUAAGCAUAUCAAUAAGCGGAGGA
rnacentral:misc_RNA from 1 species